GGGCCAGGCCUCCCGCGACCCAAGCCCGCCUGCGCCUCGGGCUCCGCUCGCGGCUGCCGGGGCGCCGGUGUUCGCGCCCGCGGGGUCGCCGGGGCUCGGCCCGGGAGCUGCCUCCCGCUGCCCGGCUGCGCCGCCUCGGCCUCGCUCCCCCGCUGGCCCGCGCUGCAGCCGCCGCCUCCCGGUCUCCGUUCCGACGCUCAGGAGGAAGCUGUCUGCGUCCUCAGGCUGCGUCUCCGCGAUGGGUCAGCCCCGGCCCGGAGAGGACGGCUGAGGCCGAGACGGGCGGACGGAGAGGCGCCGCCCGAGCUGGGUCAGGAGCCGCGGCCCGCCGGCUCAGCCCUGGCCCCGCGCCCCCUUCUCUGAUUCUCUUCCCGUCCUGCUUAAACGCCCUGGCCUUGGAGGACUGGCAGGAAGCCGGCCCCGCGCCGGGCCCGUCUCAGAAGAGGGAGAGGCUGCGAGCAACAUGUUUUUAAGAUCUGGCCCAUUGCUUUGAACUACUGCUUAGUACUCCGCCACAUUUUACCUAAGGACUUCUUCAAUCAGGGACACCCAAAUUGUCUCCAACUUCCCACAACCAAAAACAAAGGUAUGAAGUCGUCAGAGAGGCCACAGAGGAGACUUAACCGUGGUUAACUCUGGAACUGAGGAGCGAGCGGUGGUAGAGUGGGUGGAGGGAACUUUCACUUUUACUUUAUGCAAUUUUUAAAUAAGCAUGUAUUAUUUUUAUAAUGAAAAGUUCCAUUCUGAAAAUAAAAGAAAGCGUUCAGUACGCAAGCAACACUAUUAUAGGCAUACCUUGAGUCUGCUCUGAUUUUCUUCAGGGAAGUCCUUCAUGAAUAUGUACAGACUAUCUCUGGAAGGAUAUUUAGGAAGCUGAUGACAGUGGUUGCCUCUCAAGAGGGAGACUGGUGGACUGGUGUUUGGAGUCAGGGAUGGGGGAAAAUGGACUGUAUACUCUUGCAUAAGAUUUAAUUUGUUUUUAACCAAAUGCGUGUAUUAUGAAUUCAAAUGGAUUAAGAGAAAAUUAUUAAAAGCUUCAGUGAUUUAUAAUCA